GGAUGUGAGGGUGAUCUGGCUGUGACAUCUGUUACCCCAUUGAUCACCAGGGUGGAUUCAGCUGAUCUGGCUGUCGAGGUAGGUGUCCUCUUCCUCCCUCACUCCACAUGUGUCCGUCCCGAAGCUGUGCACUCAGCCGAAGAGGACAACCAUCCCUGAGACAGGAGGACCAGGCUUCAGUCAAGGGCAGCUGUGCGCCCCUGUUGGUACCUCCAAACAAGCGAUCAAGUAUCUGUAAUUUCUUAAUUUUUCUACAGGGAAUUAUGUGUUACCUUUGUAGUAAAA
rnacentral:snRNA from 1 species